rnacentral:lncRNA from 1 species
GAACAAAUACUGAGGCAGAAGUUAAGAGCACACUGGAUUCAAUUGGGUGACAGCAACACAAAAUACUUCCAUGCGUAUAUGAAAUCCAGACAAGCCAGGAACAGGGUGAGUAGCAUACUCAAUGACAACCAGAUGAGGAUCACAGACCCACAUCAGAUCCAAGAAGAGUUCAUUCAAUUUUUUCAACAGCUUCUGGGCAUAGCAGCAGACCAGCUCCC